ACACCAUGAUGUUGGCAUUUUCUAAUCAAAUCAUUGAACCUCUCCAAAGCUUCAUAAUGUGAUUCUGACUCAUGUUGCAUGAAAGAAGUGAUAUUAUGUCUCAAAAU